UACGUAGGGUCCGAGCGUUGUCCGGAAUUAUUGGGCGUAAAGAGCUCGUAGGCGGUCUGUCGCGUCGGCUGUGAAAACACGGGGCUCAACUCCGUGUCUGCAGUCGAUACGGGCAGACUAGAGUUCGGUAGGGGAGACUGGAAUUCCUGGUGUAGCGGUGAAAUGCGCAGAUAUCAGGAGGAACACCGGUGGCGAAGGCGGGUCUCUGGGCCGAAACUGACGCUGAGGAGCGAAAGCGUGGGGAGCGAACAGG
rnacentral:rRNA from 1 species